rnacentral:rRNA from 1 species
UAUGUAUUAAGGAGUAUCUUUAGAUUUAGAUAUAGCCAUGCAAGUCGAGCGGAAACGAGUUAUCUGAACCUUCGGGAACGAUAACGGCGUCGAGCGGCGGACGGGUGAGUAAUGCCUAGGAAAUUGCCUUGAUGUGGGGGAUAACCAUUGGAAACGAUGGCUAAUACCGCAUAAUGCCUACGGGCCAAAGAGGGGGACCUUCGGGCCUCUCGCGUCAAGAUAUGCCUAGGUGGGAUUAGCUAGUUGGUGAGGUAAUGGCUCACCAAGGCGACGAUCCCUAGCUGGUCUGAGAGGAUGAUCAGCCACACUGGAACUGAGACACGGUCCAGACUCCUACGGGAGGCAGCAGUGGGGAAUAUUGCACAAUGGGCGCAAGCCUGAGGAAGGGGGUGUCGUUAAUAGCGGCAUCUCUGACGUUAGCUGCAGAAGAAGCACCGGCUAACUCCGUGCCAGCAGCCGCGGUAAUACGGAGGGUGCGAGCGUUAAUCGGAAUUACUGGGCGUAAAGCGCAUGCAGGUGGUUUGUUAAGUCAGAUGUGAAAGCCCGGGGCUCAACCUCGGAACUGCAUUUGAAACUGGCAAACUAGAGUACUGUAGAGGGGGUAGAAUUUCAGGUGUAGCGGUGAAAUGCGUAGAGAUCUGAAGGAAUACCAGUGGCGAAGGCGGCCCCCUGGACAGAUACUGACACUCAGAUGCGAAAGCGUGGGGAGCAAACAGGAUUAGAUACCCUGGUAGUCCACGCCGUAAACGAUGUCUACUUGGAGGUUGUGGCCUUGAGCCGUGGCUUUCGGAGCUAACGCGUUAAGUAGACCGCCUGGGAGUACGGUCGCAAGAUUAAAACUCAAAUGAAUUGACGGGGCCCGCACAAGCGGUGGAGCAUGUGGUUUAAUUCGAUGCAACGCGAAGAACCUUACCUACUCUUGACAUCCAGAGAAGCCAGCGGAGACGCAGGUGUGCCUUCGGGAACUCUGAGACAGGUGCUGCAUGGCUGUCGUCAGCUCGUGUUGUGAAAUGUUGGGUUAAGUCCCGCAACGAGCGCAACCCUUAUCCUUGUUUGCCAGCGAGUAAUGUCGGGAACUCCAGGGAGACUGCCGGUGAUAAACCGGAGGAAGGUGGGGACGACGUCAAGUCAUCAUGGCCCUUACGAGUAGGGCUACACACGUGCUACAAUGGCGCAUACAGAGGGCAGCCAACUUGCGAGAGUGAGCGAAUCCCAAAAAGUGCGUCGUAGUCCGGAUUGGAGUCUGCAACUCGACUCCAUGAAGUCGGAAUCGCUAGUAAUCGUAGAUCAGAAUGCUACGGUGAAUACGUUCCCGGGCCUUGUACACACCGCCCGUCACACCAUGGGAGUGGGCUGCAAAAGAAGUGGGUAGUUUAACCUUCGGAGGACGCUCACCACUUUGUGGUUCAUGACUGGGGUGAAGUCGUAACAAGGUAGCCCUAGGGGAACCUGGGGCUGGAUCACCUCCUUA